AAUUACCAACUUUGAGCUAAUAGACUCAAAACUCUAUAAAAAUCUUCUGACCUUUUACUUUUGAGACAAGACAAAAAAGGCAAAAUAUUCGUCAAAAGUAGAUUUUGCUGACUUAUUCUCAUUUGUUUUCGGAAUAUAUGAACAUAUCUAAGCUUCUUUAUGUGACCAAAUUAAAUUAGACAGUAAGUAGUAUUUGAAUCGUUAGUUAAAGUACGAAAAAUAAUUCACAUGCAACUAGAAGGGAAUAUCGUAAAUUCGUAAUCAAUAAAUUCGCUAAAAUGUAAACUUUCUCAUAGAGACAAUGAAAGGUAUAUACGACAUAUUUGUUGUUACGAAAUUCAGAGGGACUUUUGAAAUUCAAAAAUACUAUAGUAUUUGUUAGCAAAACAGAAAAAAUAUAGUAUUAAGACGAGUCUUUAGGAAAAAUAACAUCAAACAAAAAGGGGAUUAAAAAGUCAAGCUGAUUGAAUAUUUACAUGGUUGACAAAAAAAAAAAAAGAAUAUUUACAUGAUACAGAAAAUUGCCGUCCAAGUCCAAAAACUCCAUUUUGCUAAAAAUCAGCUUUUCAAAAAUCAAAUCUUAAAACAUUUAUUGGAGUCAUGGUUUACAUAUAUGCACGUGUCCUAAUUUUGACGCACUAGAAGCGUGUACUUAUAUGUAGUGGGAAAACCCGACGACCGAACACCGCAGUGACAUUGAAAUAUAAAAGUCCUCUAAAGCAGCCACGCGUUGUUAGGAGCCCCACGUA
rnacentral:lncRNA from 1 species